rnacentral:rRNA from 1 species
CAGUAGCCGCGGUAAUACGAAGGGUGCAAGCGUUAAUCGGAAUUACUGGGCGUAAAGGGUGCGUAGGCGGUUCGGAAAGAAAGAUGUGAAAUCCCAGGGCUCAACCUUGGAACUGCAUUUUUAACUACCGGACUAGAGUAUGUCAGAGGGAGGUGGAAUUCCACGUGUAGCAGUGAAAUGCAUAGAUAUGUGGAGGAACACCGAUGGCGAAGGCAGCCUCCUGGGAUAAUACUGACGCUCAUGCACGAAAGCGUGGGGAGCAAACAGGAUUAGAUACCCCCGUAGUCCCUGUCUCUUAUAC